CAGCAAAAUUAAAAAGUGAUGAGAACGUAAAUAAAUCGAAGGCACCAAAAUAUGAAGACGAUUAUUCAAUUGUUGUUGUUCUUCUUGUUCUAUUGUCUAUGGAAAAUGAUUAGAGCGAGACCAGUCCAUUGGUAAGGGGAUGAGGAGAGGUCAGUGUAAGGGAUGAGGAGAGGUCAGUGUAAGGGAUGAGGAGAGGUCAGUGUAGGGGAUGAGGAGAGGUCAGUGUAGGGGAUGAGGAGAGGUCAGUGUAAGGGAUGAGGAGAGGUCAGUGUAAGGGAUGAGGAGAGGUCAGUGUAGGGGAUGAGGAGAGGUCAGUGUAGGGGAUGAGGAGAGGUCAGUGUAGGGGAUGAGGAGAGGUCAGUGUAGGGGAUGAGGAGAGGUCUGUGUAGGGGAUGAGGAGAGGUCAGUGUAGGGGAUGAGGAGAGGUCAGUGUAGGGGAUGAGGAGAGGUCAGUGUAGGGGAUGAGGAGAGUUCAGUGUAGGGGAUGAGGAGAGGUCUGUGUAGGGGAUGAGGAGAGGUCAGUGUAGGGGAUGAGGAGAGGUCAGUGUAGGGGAUGAGGAGAGGUCUGUGUAGGGGAUGAGGAGAGGUCAGUGUAGGGGAUGAGGAGAGGUCAGUGUAGGGGAUGAGGAGAGGUUAGUGUAGGGGAUGAGGAGAGGUCAGUGUAAGGGAUGAGGAGAGGUCAGUGUAGGGGAUGAGGAGAGGUCAGUGUAGGGGAUGAGGAGAGGUCAGUGUAAGGGAUGAGGAGAGGUCAGUGUAAGGGAUGAGGAGAGGUCAGUGUAGGGGAUGAGGAGAGGUCAGUGUAAGGGAUGAGGAGAGGUCAGUGUAUGGGAUGAGGAGAGGUCAGUGUAGGGGAUGAGGAGAGGUCAGUGUAGGGGAUGAGGAGAGGUCAGUGUAGGGGAUGAGGAGAGGUCAGUGUAGGGGAUGAGGAGAGGUCAGUGUAGGGGAUGAGGUGAGGUCAGUGGAAGGGAUGAGGAGAGGUCAGUGUAGGAGAUGAGGAGAGGUCAGUGUAGGGGAUGAGGAGAGGUCAGUGUAGGGGAUGAGGAGAGGUCAGUGGAAGGGAUGAGGAGAGGUCAGUGUAUGGGAUGAGGAGAGGUCAGUGUAGGGGAUGGGGAGAGGUCAGUGUAGGGGAUGAGGAGAGGUCAGUGUAGGGGAUGAGGAGAGGUCAG